AGCCCCGGCCCCGCGCUUGUCACCCAGACAAGAGAUCAAUAACUAAUUUCACUGCAGCAGCAGCGCCGGGUUUUUUCCAAUAAUUGUGAGCCGGCGGUGGGGAAUGAGGCUCUCAGCACCGCUCCACACCAGCCUGCACCCGAUCAAUCGCCACACCGCUGGGGCAGCAGGAAAACUCAUUUUUCUCCUUUUCUUCCCUCUCCUCCCUUCUCUCCUUCCCGAUCCCACUCCGUUCCCUCCUCCUCCUGCUGUGGCGCUGCCUGAGCUGGGGCUGUGUCCCCAUCCCCUCGCUGGGUGGGAUGUCAGCUUGGGCUGUCCCCAGCUGGCCCCACACGCUGGGGACAAGGGCUGAGCCUCCUGUGCUGCCUCAGCAGCCCGGAGCACUUCGGUCCCUGCCACCCAGGGGCCGGACCCGGCUCCUUGUGCACAGCACCGGCCCCAGCAGCUUGGCUGAAGGUGGCAGAGGAGAACCUUUGGAACCACCCUCACCAGAGACCACAGUGGACAAAAUCAAAUCUUUAAAGGCUCAAGGUGCCCCAGCAGCAGCACUAACCCACAGGUGCAGCCA
rnacentral:lncRNA from 1 species